AAAAUAAUACCAUAUUUAUUUCCCUUGCCUAAUUUGCAUAUUCAGAAAACAGCUUUUGUCUUGAAAACUAAGACAGAUAUCGACUAACUUUGUGUUAUCGACUUAUAGGAAGUCACAUAUGACCUUUCAUUUGGCAUCAAUUUUGUUGACCUUGGAUGACCUAGAAAGAUCAAACACAAGGUCAUGAUUUUCAAGAUACUCAAUUUUUGCCCAUAACUCUCAGUUUUGCAGAUAGAGAAGAACGACUAGUACCGUGUUACAAAGUGU